rnacentral:rRNA from 1 species
GACGAACGCUGGCGGCGUGCUUAACACAUGCAAGUCGAACGGAAAGGCCCUGCUUUUGUGGGGUGCUCGAGUGGCGAACGGGUGAGUAACACGUGAGUAACCUGCCCUUGACUUUGGGAUAACUUCAGGAAACUGGGGCUAAUACCGGCUAGGAGCUCCUGCUGCAUGGUGGGGGUUGGAAAGUUUCGGCGGUUGGGGAUGGACUCGCGGCUUAGCAGCUUGUUGGUGGGGUAGUGGCUUACCAAGGCGUUGACGGGUAGCCGGCCUGAGAGGGUGACCGGCCACAUUGGGACUGAGAUACGGCCCAGACUGCUACGGGAGGCAGCAGUGGGGAAUAUUGCACAAUGGGCGGAAGCCUGAUGCAGCAACGCCGCGUGCGGGAUGACGGCCUUCGGGUUGUAAACCGCUUUCGCCUGUGACGAAGCGUGAGUGACGGUAAUGGGUAAAGAAGCACCGGCUAACUACGUG